rnacentral:rRNA from 1 species
AUACGUAGGUGGCGAGCGUUGUCCGGAUUUACUGGGCGUAAAGGGUGCGUAGGUGGCCUUUUAAGUUGGAUGUGAAAUACUCGGGCUUAACCUGAGUGCUGCAUUUCAAACUGGAAGUCUAGAGUGCAGGAGAGGAGAAGGGAAUUCCUAGUGUAGCGGUGAAAUGCGUAGAGAUUAGGAAGAACACCAGUGGCGAAGGCGCUUCUCUGGACUGUAACUGACGCUGAGGCUCGAAAGCGUGGGGAGC